ensembl:lncRNA RPL23AP7 ribosomal protein L23a pseudogene 7
GGGGCUCCUGGCUGUGGGUGUGGUACCGAGGCUUCAGCGGGUGCCGCCCGCCUAGAGGGAGUGGAGCGGCUAGACAGCUUUAGGAACUGAAAGGUUCACGAGGCUGUAACGAAGAGUCGAGUUGCUCCAGAGAGCCUACGACUAGAUUUGCAUCUUUACGUCCUGCGCGGAGGCUGCUACACACAUGCAGAAGUCAUGCUGGUGGCCUGGACAGUGAAGGGAGAGAAGUGGAUUUGGGAGACAUUUAGGAGGAACAGUAAGAGGACCUUGUGCAUGAAUAAUUUGUUUCCACACUACAGAGUGGGUAAUAAGCAGAUUAGUAAAAACAAUUCUGCUUCACUUCAAUAACAGCCUCCUCCAACUCAUUUUUUCUCAACAAACUUAUUUUUCCAGCAGAAGAAUCCCAGACUUCUUAGAGAACCCAGUGACUUUUUGCACCUUAAAUCUGUGAAAUCCUCAUGUUUUCUUCUGCCGUAUCCAUAGUUCAAACAAAGAUGAGGCAAAGCUAGAUGCAUUCCUGAAGGAACCCAAGAAAUUCCUCUCUUUAUUUCUCUGGAAUGAAAUGAAUUCUCUAGACCACCAGUUCUAACCUUCAAAAACCAAACCUGUUUGUGAGAUCUCCUUCAAAUACUACUGUAGACCCCAGUGUUUAUUCAUUAAAUUUUUAAAAUAUUUGUUUUAUUUGGAAUCCAUGUAUUUGUAAUUUUAGUGUUUGUAUUAAUAUAAGGGAGAAAUGUUUAAAUCUGUCUAUGCCAUAUGUGCCUCUGGCUUAUUGCCCAAUUAAUUGUAGACUCAGGC